CGUUGACUUCCUAUGCUACUGCCCUCAGCCCUUUCGUGCUUGCUGAUAACCAGAAGUGCCUUUCACGCAAACCAUCUCGGGCAAGCGCUCUUUUCGGCACCCUGCCAACACUGGUACUUCUUCUAACAUUGCUGGUCAUCGGAGCAGCUUACUCAUAUAGACGGCUAUCACGUGCAACGAAGGAGAAGGAAUCCUGUGCCGGGCCUAGGGACACUGUGGACGCUUCAACAGACUUCUUGGAUUGGCGUCCAGAUACUGGCUCGUCCGU